rnacentral:tRNA from 1 species
ACCCAGAUGGCCGAGACCAAGCAUCGGACUUUUAACCCGACCACAGUAAUUUACUUCUGAGUA